rnacentral:rRNA from 1 species
GACAGAGGGUGCAAACGUUGUUCGGAAUUACUGGGCGUAAAGCGUGUGUAGGCGGCUAUGUAAGUCGGAUGUGAAAGCCCCGGGCUUAACCCGGGAACGGCAUUGAAUACUGCUGAUCUGGAGGGUUGGAGGGGGGACUGGAAUUCUUGGUGUAGCAGUGAAAUGCGUAGAUAUCAGGAGGAACACCGAUGGCGAAGGCAGGUCUCUGGGCUGACACUGACGCUCAUGCACGAAAGCGUGGGGAGCAAACAGG